GAUGAACGCUGACAGCAUGCUUAACACAUGCAAGUCAACUGUGGCGGACGGGUGAGUAACGCGUAAAGAACUUGCCUCACAGUUAGGGACAACCUUUGGAAACGAAUGCUAAUACCUGAUACUGUGAGAGAGCUUUGCGUCCCGUUAGCUCGUGGGAGAGGUAACGGCUCACCAAGGCGAUGAUGGGUAGCCGGCCUGAGAGGGUGAUCGGCCACAAGGGGAAUGAGACACGGCCCGUACUCCUACGGGAGGCAGCAGUGGGGAAUAAUGGACAAUGGACCAAAGUCUGAUCCAGCAAUUCUGUGUGCACGAUGAAGUUUUCGGAAUGUAAAGUGCUUUCAGUUGGGAAGCGGUACCAACAGAAGAAGUGACGGCUAAAUACGUGCCAGCAGCCGCGGUAAUAC
rnacentral:rRNA from 1 species